UCUGCCUCAGCACAGGCCCAAACCAGCGGGCCAGAGCCCCAGGGCCUGAAGCUCCGCAAGUGGGAGCCAGAGUAACCGGGGCGCCCCGCCCCACCGGGUCGAGACCCUUCUUCCUGCCCUGGACAGACCGCGGGCGGGCUCCGCCCCGCUGCCCUCUGCACCCGCCCGCUGCUCUCUGCACCCGCUGUCCUCUGCACCCGCUGCCCUGUGCUCCCGCUGCCAGAGAGGGAGCCCCAUCCCCGUCCCCAACCCCAUCCCGGCCCGCGCAGUGGCCUCCCCCGGGCAUGGCGCGCGCCCUGGGCCCUGAGCGGCGGCUGCUGCUCAUCUACACCGGCGGCACCUUGGGCAUGCGGAGGGAGCGCGGGGUGCUUGUCCCCGGCCCAGGCCUGGCUUCUGUGCUGCGGACCCUGCCCAUGUUCCACGAUGAGGAGCAUGCCCGGGCACAGGGCCUCCCUGACAACACCCUGGUGCUGCCUCCUGCCAGCCCUGGCCCCAGGGUCAUCUACACAGUGUUGCAGCGCCAGCCGCUCUUGGACUCCAGCGACAUGACCAUCACUGAGUGGGUCCAGAUAGCCCAGACCAUAGAGAGGCACUAUGAGCAGUACCACGGCUUUGUGGUCAUCCACGGCACCGACACCAUGGCCUUCGCAGCCUCUGUGCUGUCCUUCGUGCUGGAAAACCUGCACAAGCCUGUCAUCCUCACCGGCGCCCAGGUCCCCAUCCACGCGCUGUGGAAUGACAGCCGGGAGAACCUGCUGGGGGCGCUGCUCAUGGCCGGCCAGUAUAUCAUCCCUGAGGUCUGCCUGUUCAUCCAGAAUCAGCUGUUUCGGGGCAACCGGGUAACCAAGGUGGACACCCAGAGGUUUGGGGCCUUCUGCUCCCCCAACCUGCCCCCACUGGCCACCACGGGCGCGGAGGUCACAGUUGCCCGGGAGCUGGUGCGGACGGCCAGCUGGAAGGACGCGCUGGUGGUGCACAGCAGCAUGGAGUGCGACGUGGGGCUGCUGCGCCUCUACCCGGGGAUCCCUGCCUCCCUGGUCCGGGCCUUCCUGCAGCACCCGCUCAAGGGCGUAGUCAUGGAGACCUUCGGCUCAGGCAACGGGCCCACCAAGCCUGACCUGCUGCAGGAGCUGCGGGCCGCAGCUGAGCGGGGCCUGAUCAUCGUCAACUGUAGCCACUGCCUGCGGGGGCCUGUGACCCCAGGCUAUGCGUCAGGCUUGGCUGAGGCGGGCGCCAGCGUUGUCUCUGGCUUUGACAUGACCUCGGAGGCUGCCCUGGCCAAGCUGUCCUACGUGCUGGGCCGGCCGGGGCUGAGCCUGGAUCACAGGAAGGAGCUGCUGGCCAAGGAUCUUCGCGGGGAGAUGACACUGCCCACGAUGGACAAGCGCCAGUCUUCUCUGUGGAGCAGUGCGCUGGGGUGCAGUGUCACCUGGCUCUUGGGUCUGAGUGGCGGCCAGGAAGUGGAUGCAGUGCGGGACACUGUGAUGCCCAGCCUGGCCCUGGCUGCAGCCCACAAAGGUGACCUCGAGGCUCUGCAGGCGCUUGUGGAGCUGGGCAGUGACCUGUGCCUGGAGGACUCUAGUGGGCAGACCCCACUGCACGCGGCUGCGCGGAGGGGGCACGAGGGUGUGGUCACCAUGCUGCUGCACAGAGGCGUGGAUGUGAAUGCCCGUGACCAGGACGGCCUCAGCCCGCUGCUGCUGGCCGUGCAGGGCAGGCUCCACUCACUCUGAUGCAGAGGCCACCUGGGCUUAGUGACGCCAUCGCUCACCUGCCUGGCGACCGGGUCACCCAGCGCUGCCCACGCUCCCCAGACCUGUCACUGAGGCCAGGGGUCCAAGUCCAGCACUGCCUGGCUGUGUCCAACCGAGGGCCCUGGGGGCCGUGUCCCUGGGAAGUGUGAACCUCGAGGAACAGCCCGGGCUUGCAGGGCAGCAGGGGUGCUGUGGGGCGACCCCUGCACCAGCCAGGGUGAUCUGGGCUGGAGAUCUGCACCUGGGUAUCCUUGGGUAUGGGCGGGUGGUGAGGAGAUGAGGUGAGUGCACUCAACCCUGCCCUGGCUACCCGCCUGGCCCUGCUGUGCUGGAGUGGUCCAGGAGCUGAGCCAUCCGGGAGGCUCGCUGCCUGUGUUCUCUAAAAGUAGGGUGGCUGUGUAAGCUACGGUCCUCCCGACACUUGCCACGAGGUGCCAGAGUCACGCUGUCCCACUACCCUGGCGCACCCUGUCCUUGGCCUGUGGAGCCUCGCCUGCACCCUGGCCCACCGGCAGACACAUGUGACGUGUCCUGGAGGGCUGGCUCAGGAGCCACUGCGGGCUAUAGCUUGGGUCCUGGCCUGGUGUCCUGACAGCCGACCCGCUGUUGGCGUCCAUCUGCAGGGUCUUGUCCCCCAUCCCAAGGGCAGAGUCGGGCACAGCUGACUCAGUUUCCCAGAGCCAGUCCUGGGCCUGGCUGGAGCUGGCUCCGGGGUGAGUGUGAGACCGUUUCUGGGUGCAGCAGGGCUCAGGCAUCAGGGCACCAUCGGGCUGCUGCGGACGGCUGGGGCCUGCCUGGCUCCCCAGGACUUGGCGGAUGCAGGGACGGAGCUGUG